rnacentral:rRNA from 1 species
UGAGGAAUUUUCCGCAAUGGACGCAAGUCUGACGGAGCAACGCCGCGUGCAGGACGAAGGUCUUCGGAUCGUAAACUGCUUUUCCCAGGGACGAGCAAGGACGGUACCUGGGGAAUAAGCCCCGGCUAACUACGUGCCAGCAGCCGCGGUAAUACGUAGGGGGCAAGCGUUGUCCGGAUUUAUUGGGCGUAAAGCGCCCGCAGGCGGUCGCGUCAGUUUGGGGUGACAGCUCCUGGCUUAACCGGGAGAGGACCUCGAAGACGGCGUGACUUGAGGGCCAGAGAGGGACAUGGAACUCCGGGUGGGGUGGUGAAAUGCGUAGAGAUCCGGAAGAACACCAAAGGCGAAGGCAGUGUCCUGGCUGGCACCUGACGCUCAGGGGCGAAAGCGAGGGGAGCGAACGGGAUUAGAUACCCCGGUAGUCCUCGCCGUAAACGAUGACCACUAGGUGUGGGAGGGAUCGACCCCUUCCGUGCCGGCGUUAACGCACUAAGUGGUCCGCCUGGGGAGUACGGUCGCAAGAUUA